ensembl:lncRNA novel transcript
AGCUGUACCAGGGACCUGAGAUAUUCCGUCACUAUUCUAUGAAUGGUCUGGCUUGAUGAUAUCCAACCUGACGUGGCCUGAAGAGACAGACAGUGGCUCUUGCUAGCUAAUUAUUGUCAGAUGGAUCGGCAGCCGACCAACGCUUCUGAAACUAUUGUUUUUGGCAAAUGUUCCUCAACAUUUUCCUGGGAGCUAUGGUGCAUUACUCACGAGUGACAGAACCAACGAGCUUCAUCUCCCAAGAGGCUGGUGCAUCUGUUUAAAGGAGCAGGCACUAGGCAGAGCAGCCCCCACCCCACCCUCCAUGGCAGAGUGCAGUGGGGGAAGAAGUUUUCAUAGAAAUGCUUUCUAUAAAGCAUUUUCAUAGAGAAAGCAGGUUCAUAUAGAAAGCACUGGCUGCUGGUUGGAGUGGAGAGAUUGAAGACCCUCAUCUAGGAUCAAGCAACCCCCAGAAAACAAUUUUAAACAUGUCCAUUCAGACAAAAGGAGUCCAAAACCAUAAGAUCCUCUCAGCAUCCUGAACUAAUGUCCAGCUGUUAUCUCGGGAUGGGAUUUCACCAUGUUGUCCAAGCUGGUUUUGAACUCCUGGGGUCAAGAAAUCCACCUGCUUCGGCCUCCCACAGUGCUGGGAUUACAGAUGGGGAAACUGAGGCACAGAGAGGUUAGAGAUAUGCCUGAAGCCACACAGCUUGCAAGUGGUGGAUCUGGGAUUUGAACUUGUCGAUCUGGCUGCAGAGCUGAGCUCUUGGAGACUAGGUUUUACUGCCUAGUAGCAUGUAAGCCUGGAACUGCCGGCAGUCAUUUUGUAAGUUUGCCGAGUGAACCUCAAUGAGCAUGAAGCAGAGAGGAAAGCAGUACUAAGAGAUGCAAAAGAGUCUGUGUUCCAGCAAUGGGAUCUGAAGUCCUGGAUCAAACCUUACCUGGAGACAAGAUUUACCCAUCAGACAUGCCAGUUAUAAGACCCAAAUUUACCCUUUUUGGGGGAUUGAGUUUGAAUGAGUAUUUUUGUUUGUUUGUUUUGGCAUCAGAAAGACUCCUGAUUAAUACACAGUGUGACGCUGACCAAGAUGCUUCCUUUCUCUAGGACUCAAUUUUCUUAUCUGUAAAGUAAAGGGUUCAUCAACAUUCUUUGGUUGAAUCUUACCUGAAACAUUUUGUGAGCCUUCACCAAUCUCAUCUAAGCCUUUGUUUCCAUAGAACAAAGCCCUUUAAGAAAGGAGGGGAAAGUGUCAUGGAGUCUUACUGUCCUGAGUGCAAAUAUGGUCUCUGUAUUGUCCUUAUCUGUUCAUUUUCUGCCUCUCAGUACUAGAAUGAAAACUCUGGAAGAAGAAGGAAUUUUGUCUGAUUUUCUUACUGCUGUAUCCUCAGUAUUUUGAACUGUUUCUAACUCAGAGUACAAUCUCAAAAUUUUUUUUGAUUUUCAUAUAUCUGUAUAUAUAUUUGUUAAAUGAGUGAAGAAAUCCUUAUAUGUCUUUAUGGAUAACAAGCUGGCUUGGGCAUGGUUUUCAGUUAUGGGUCCUUCCUUUUGUGCGGGAGUGGUUAUGGAUGGUAUUUGUUCCUCUCUGCUUCAUAAUUCUCUCAUCCAUUUUUGACUUAAUGGACAGAAACAAUAGAUGAAUAAAAUGGAAUCAUCUCUGAACAAAA